rnacentral:rRNA from 1 species
UACGUAGGGUGCGAGCGUUAAUCGGAAUUACUGGGCGUAAAGCGUGCGCAGGCGGUUUUGUAAGCCAGAUGUGAAAUCCCCGGGCUUAACCUGGGAAUGGCAUUUGGGACUGCAAGGCUGGAGUGUGGCAGAGGGGGGUAGAAUUCCACGUGUAGCAGUGAAAUGCGUAGAGAUGUGGAGGAAUACCGAUGGCGAAGGCAGCCUCCUGGGCCAACACUGACGCUCAUGCACGAAAGCGUGGGGAGCAAACAGG